rnacentral:rRNA from 1 species
AACGAACGCUGGCGGCAUGCCUAACACAUGCAAGUCGAACGGGAUCCUGGCUUCGGCCAGGUGAGAGUGGCGGACGGGUGAGUAACGCGUGGGAACCUGCCCAUUGGUCUGGGAUAACUGCGGGAAACUGCAGCUAAUACCGGAUGUACCCGAGAGGGGAAAGAUUUAUCGCCGAUGGAGGGGCCCGCGUCAGAUUAGGUAGUUGGUGAGGUAACGGCUCACCAAGCCUACGAUCUGUAGCUGGUCUGAGAGGAUGAUCAGCCACACUGGGACUGAGAUACGGCCCAGACUCCUACGGGAGGCAGCAGUGGGGAAUAUUGGACAAUGGGGGCAACCCUGAUCCAGCAAUGCCGCGUGAGUGAUGAAGGCCUUAGGGUUGUAAAGCUCUUUUACCAGGGACGAUGAUGACGGUACCUGGAGAAUAAGCCCCGGCUAACUUCGUGCCAGCAGCCGCGGUAAU